rnacentral:sRNA from 12 species
CCUUUGGAGUGUUACAUCAAAUGUUAUUAGUAUUAGCAAUAAUAUGAGGGCAGACACGAUGAAUAAGGAA